GGGGAAUCUUGCCCAAUGGGGGAAACCCUGAUGCAGCCAUGCCGCGUGUGUGAAGAAGGCCUUCGGGUUGUAAAGCACUUUCAGUCAGGAGGAAGGUGGUGUCGCUAAUAACUGCACCCAUCGACGUUACUGACAGAAGCAGCACCGGCUAACCACGUGCCAGCAGCCGCGGUAAUACGGAGGGUGCGAGCGUUAAUCGGAAUUACUGGGCGUAAAGCGUGCGCAGGCGGUUUGUUAAGCGAGAUGUGAAAGCCCCGGGCUCAACCUCGGAUGGUCAUUUCGAACUGGCAAGCUAGAGUCUCGUAGAGGGGGGUAGAAUUCCAGGUGUAGCGGUGAAAUGCGUAGAGAUCUGGAGGAAUACCGGUGGCGAAGGCGGCCCCCUGGACGAAGACUGACGCUCAGGCACGAAAGCGUGGGGAGCAAACA
rnacentral:rRNA from 1 species